UUUACUUGCGUCCGGGUUUGAUUCCGGUUGGCUUCUAGAUCUAAAGCAUACUGGUUUGGUUCCAGUCUCCAGUCUUCAGAUUCUAGCUGAGGCGACAAACUUGACGAUUUAUGUGGACAUAAAUCAGUAAAUUAUUAUUUGGAUCAUAGAAGUGUGUGCACCACUAAGAUCUGAACCAUUUCUAACAAGUUCCAAGAAACACUGAUACUGCUGAUCCAGACCACACUUGGAAACCACGAGAUGAGGCUAUUCUCAGGCACCUCUGGCGGGGAUAGAGGCUGGCCAGGGAAAAUGGACGUGUGCUUUAACACCUAGAAGUCUGGAUGAACUUCAGGACAGUGACAACCAGUGGCCAUUCAGAGAAGGAAGAUGAAGAACACCGAAGGUGGCCCCGAGGCAGCUGCACACUGGCAUGGCAGGUGGAGCUUACUAGGCAAAGGUGGCACCAUGUCACAGAAGGGUCUUGCAGAUUGGACAGGUAAAAAGGUUCCUGUUUCUUGUUGGUGCAGGUGCAGCAGGGGCCUGCCAGCCUGCCCUGUUCUCUGACCUGUCUCUCUUGACUGUUCAACAUGUUUCUUUGGUCUCUGCAUUUUGGAUUCCUCCACAUUAUAUUUUUAUUUUUGAUGUCUGAUCUUUUGGGACUAAAUAAAGAUUUAAGGACACAAUAGAGUCUUAUAUAAAAUUGAUCUUACCAUGUUUUUAAUAAUUCUCAGUGAUAGAGUACUCAUCUAGAAUGUGUAAGGCCCUUGGUUCAAUCCCCUACAUAGAAAAAAAAAUGACCCUCUUACAUUGAUGUCUAACACAUCAUAAUAUCUUGACACAGUGACAAACACAAACUUUUUAGAAUGAAUCAAAAACCUCAAUCCUUUAGAU